rnacentral:rRNA from 1 species
CACUCCUGCGGGAGGCAGCAGUGGGGAAUAUUGCACAAUGGGCGCAAGCCUGAUGCAGCCAUGCCGCGUGUAUGAAGAAGGCCUUCGGGUUGUAAAGUACUUUCAGCGGGGAGGAAGGCGAUAAGGUUAAUAACCUUGUUGAUUGACGUUACCCGCAGAAGAAGCACCGGCUAACUCCGUGCCAGCAGCCGCGGUAAUACGGAGGGUGCAAGCGUUAAUCGGAAUUACUGGGCGUAAAGCGCACGCAGGCGGUCUGUCAAGUCGGAUGUGAAAUCCCCGGGCUCAACCUGGGAACUGCAUUCGAAACUGGCAGGCUAGAGUCUUGUAGAGGGGGGUAGAAUUCCAGGUGUAGCGGUGAAAUGCGUAGAGAUCUGGAGGAAUACCGGUGGCGAAGGCGGCCCCCUGGACAAAGACUGACGCUCAGGUGCGAAAGCGUGGGGAGCAAACAGGAUUAGAAAUCCCUGUAGUCCCAUGA